GGCCCGGGGGGGUCCCGGGGCUCUGGUUUGGGGUCCCUGCUCUGCUGCCUGCAGCUCCCUGGGGCUCCCUGCUCUGCUCGCCGGAUUUUGGGGUGUCCGGGCUCUGUCUCUGCAGGUUUUGGGGUGUCCAGGCUCUGUCUCUGCAGAUUUUGGGGUGCCCAGGCUCUGUCUCUGCAGGUUUAGGGUGUCCAGGCUCUGUCUGUGCAGAUUUUGGGGUGUCCAGGCUCUGUCUGUGCAGAUUUUGGGGUGCCCAGGCUCUGUCUCUGCAGAUUUUGGGGUGUCCAGGCUCUGUCUCUGCAGGUUUAGG